rnacentral:rRNA from 1 species
UUAAGUUAUUAAGGGCGCACGGUGGAUGCCUUGGCACUAGAAGCCGAUGAAGGACGUUACUAACGACGAUAUGCUUUGGGGAGCUGUAAGUAAGCUUUGAUCCAGAGAUUUCCGAAUGGGGAAACCCAGCAUGAGUUAUGUCAUGUUAUCGAUAUGUGAAUACAUAGCAUAUCAGAAGGCACACCCGGAGAACUGAAACAUCUUAGUACCCGGAGGAAGAGAAAGAAAAUUCGAUUCCCUUAGUAGCGGCGAGCGAAACGGGAAGAGCCCAAACCAACAAGCUUGCUUGUUGGGGUUGUAGGACACUCUAUACGGAGUUACAAAGGACGACAUUAGACGAAUCAUCUGGAAAGAUGAAUCAAAGAAGGUAAUAAUCCUGUAGUCGAAAAUGUUGUCUCUCUUGAGUGGAUCCUGAGUACGACGGAGCACGUGAAAUUCCGUCGGAAUCUGGGAGGACCAUCUCCUAAGGCUAAAUACUCUCUAGUGACCGAUAGUGAACCAGUACCGUGAGGGAAAGGUGAAAAGCACCCCGGAAGGGGAGUGAAAUAGAACCUGAAACCGUGUGCUUACAAGUAGUCAGAGCCCGUUAAUGGGUGAUGGCGUGCCUUUUGUAGAAUGAACCGGCGAGUUACGAUUUGAUGCAAGGUUAAGCAGUAAAUGUGGAGCCGUAGCGAAAGCGAGUCUGAAUAGGGCGUUUAGUAUUUGGUCGUAGACCCGAAACCAGGUGAUCUACCCUUGGUCAGGUUGAAGUUCAGGUAACACUGAAUGGAGGACCGAACCGACUUACGUUGAAAAGUGAGCGGAUGAACUGAGGGUAGCGGAGAAAUUCCAAUCGAACCUGGAGAUAGCUGGUUCUCUCCGAAAUAGCUUUAGGGCUAGCCUCAAGUGAUGAUUAUUGGAGGUAGAGCACUGUUUGGACGAGGGGCCCCUCUCGGGUUACCGAAUUCAGACAAACUCCGAAUGCCAAUUAAUUUAACUUGGGAGUCAGAACAUGGGUGAUAAGGUCCGUGUUCGAAAGGGAAACAGCCCAGACCACCAGCUAAGGUCCCAAAAUAUAUGUUAAGUGGAAAAGGAUGUGGCGUUGCCCAGACAACUAGGAUGUUGGCUUAGAAGCAGCCAUCAUUUAAAGAGUGCGUAAUAGCUCACUAGUCGAGUGACACUGCGCCGAAAAUGUACCGGGGCUAAACAUAUUACCGAAGCUGUGGAUUGUCCUUUGGACAAUGGUAGGAGAGCGUUCUAAGGGCGUUGAAGCAUGAUCGUAAGGACAUGUGGAGCGCUUAGAAGUGAGAAUGCCGGUGUGAGUAGCGAAAGACGGGUGAGAAUCCCGUCCACCGAUUGACUAAGGUUUCCAGAGGAAGGCUCGUCCGCUCUGGGUUAGUCGGGUCCUAAGCUGAGGCCGACAGGCGUAGGCGAUGGAUAACAGGUUGAUAUUCCUGUACCACCUAUAAUCGUUUUAAUCGAUGGGGGGACGCAGUAGGAUAGGCGAAGCGUGCGAUUGGAUUGCACGUCUAAGCAGUAAGGCUGAGUAUUAGGCAAAUCCGGUACUCGUUAAGGCUGAGCUGUGAUGGGGAGAAGACAUUGUGUCUUCGAGUCGUUGAUUUCACACUGCCGAGAAAAGCCUCUAGAUAGAAAAUAGGUGCCCGUACCGCAAACCGACACAGGUAGUCAAGAUGAGAAUUCUAAGGUGAGCGAGCGAACUCUCGUUAAGGAACUCGGCAAAAUGACCCCGUAACUUCGGGAGAAGGGGUGCUCUUUAGGGUUAACGCCCAGAAGAGCCGCAGUGAAUAGGCCCAAGCGACUGUUUAUCAAAAACACAGGUCUCUGCUAAACCGUAAGGUGAUGUAUAGGGGCUGACGCCUGCCCGGUGCUGGAAGGUUAAGAGGAGUGGUUAGCUUCUGCGAAGCUACGAAUCGAAGCCCCAGUAAACGGCGGCCGUAACUAUAACGGUCCUAAGGUAGCGAAAUUCCUUGUCGGGUAAGUUCCGACCCGCACGAAAGGCGUAACGAUUUGGGCACUGUCUCAACGAGAGACUCGGUGAAAUCAUAGUACCUGUGAAGAUGCAGGUUACCCGCGACAGGACGGGAAGACCCCGUGGAGCUUUACUGUAGCCUGAUAUUGAAAUUCGGCACAGCUUGUACAGGAUAGGUAGGAGCCUUUGAAACGUGAGCGCUAGCUUACGUGGAGGCGCUGGUGGGAUACUACCCUAGCUGUGUUGGCUUUCUAACCCGCACCACUUAUCGUGGUGGGAGACAGUGUCAGGCGGGCAGUUUGACUGGGGCGGUCGCCUCCUAAAAGGUAACGGAGGCGCUCAAAGGUUCCCUCAGAAUGGUUGGAAAUCAUUCAUAGAGUGUAAAGGCAUAAGGGAGCUUGACUGCGAGACCUACAAGUCGAGCAGGGUCGAAAGACGGACUUAGUGAUCCGGUGGUUCCGCAUGGAAGGGCCAUCGCUCAACGGAUAAAAGCUACCCCGGGGAUAACAGGCUUAUCUCCCCCAAGAGUUCACAUCGACGGGGAGGUUUGGCACCUCGAUGUCGGCUCAUCGCAUCCUGGGGCUGUAGUCGGUCCCAAGGGUUGGGCUGUUCGCCCAUUAAAGCGGUACGCGAGCUGGGUUCAGAACGUCGUGAGACAGUUCGGUCCCUAUCCGUCGUGGGCGUAGGAAAUUUGAGAGGAGCUGUCCUUAGUACGAGAGGACCGGGAUGGACAUACCUCUGGUGUACCAGUUGUCGUGCCAACGGCAUAGCUGGGUAGCUAUGUGUGGACGGGAUAAGUGCUGAAAGCAUCUAAGCAUGAAGCCCCCCUCAAGAUGAGAUUUCCCAACUUCGGUUAUAAGAUCCCUCAAAGAUGAUGAGGUUAAUAGGUUCGAGGUGGAAGCAUGGUGACAUGUGGAGCUGACGAAUACUAAUCGAUCGAAGACUUAAUCAA